GUUUACGUGUUGGAUUCUUUAAGUCAUCGCAUUUGUGAUGAAGAUUGGAAAUAUGUUAUGGAAAUGGCGUUAAGAUUAUUUAAUUCGAACAAUGGAAGGAAAGGAAGAAAGCAUGUACAAUGGGAAGUAAUCAAGGCUCCUAGGCAGCCAGAUGCGAAACAAUGUAGUUAUUACGUGAUGAGAUUUAU